CAGAAUCAUAUGCCAUCCGCUGAAAAACGAUUUGCCAUUGUCUGCCUUGGAACUCAUAGACGACCUGUCACCAAGAAUGCGGCAAAGUUUGCCCAUGUCAAGAUUCAAUGCCUCCCGGGCGGCGAGGUACGGAGUAAGACGAGAGGUCCCGAAGUCGCGCAAUGUCGACUCUAGGACAUGGUGAUGAAUAUGGCUAAGUACGAACCCCUGUUCGAAACUGAGCCCUCCACACUGGCAUUGGCGAACCAGACCUCCAACAACCAGCCGCACUUACUUCAGGUUGCCCCGACAAUACGUGAUCCCCCCGGCUACCACGACCACACAAUCAACAUCGUUCAGAGUGACCUUGACGAACUGAGGCAAGGUCAAACGAUCCGCGGCCUCCUCACUUCGGUGGACAACGGGCACCAGCACAGUGUUGACGUCUCCAUGGAUUCCCGUGGUAACUUCGUGAUGACGUCAUGCGACGGGACGGCCCAAUGUUGGGACGGCCAUAGCACCCAGAUGACCUUAGUGUACUAAACCGCUCGGAGACAUUAUUAGAAUAAACACAAUAUUCACAAAGAUCCUUAUGUUGUUCUUGAAUUAAAUUCUAAGAUCAGA